rnacentral:lncRNA from 10 species
GUACAUGGACAUGUACCGCCGCAACCAGGCACUGGAGCAGGAACUGCGGGCACUGCGGGAGCCCCCCACACCCUGGAGUCCCCGGCUCGAGUCCUCCAAGAUCUGAGGCCAGCAGAGCGAGCUGACAGCAGCAACACUGUCAGAAGGUGGGGGCUUAGGCAUCCAUAUUGGAUUCAGAAAAGAAAAAGAAUGAUGCUUCUUGCAACAAAAACAAAAGUGAUUAUGUCACGAGAGGAGAGGCUGGAGGGCCAUGGGAGUUCCCAGCUGGCUCACUCAUCCGUCCAGGAGGGAAGUUCCUGCAGAAGGAAUGCCAUUGUCUUGAGCCCUUUCCCUAGCAUCUCAUAAAACAUGGACAAUUAACUCACAGGAAAGGAUACUGAAGGUGAUACCAUCUCUUCUGAGGACUGGGCUGCUUGAGAGGUUUUAUCUGCAUGACAAGACAGCCUUUGUUUGCCAUGCAUUUCCUCCCCUCAACCUCCUAGCGUCUGCUGCCACCUCCUCCCAGAAACCUCAGGCCCCAGUUUUUGGAGCUCAAAUGCUAUUUAGACUUCAUCAGUCUGGCCCUUACUAGAGUCUCACAUUUUGUGGGACUCCUGUGCAUGUAUGUAAUAAAUUUGCAUGCCUUUUCUCCUAUUAA